AAGCUGUGAUAAUUAAUAUGAAUUGCAGAACCCUGUGAAUCAUCGAAAUUUCGAACGCAUAGCACCCAAGGCUCUGUCUUGGGUACAUCUGGCUGAGUGACGCAUUUUCAAUUGUCUCUCGCUUUCUCCAAAAAAAACUUGGUGAAAAAGCAGUGACAGAGUUUGCAGACGCGAGACUCUCGCUACUGUGAAAUAAUUUUUGUGGACACAGCAAUUUUUUACCGCCACAACGGCUUUAAAAAAAUGGUACUUUUUGCUGUGCUACUUGCUUCAAAAAAAAAAUGCAAAAACAUUCUUCAUACGUCCUCAGCUCAGGUGAGAUUACCCGCUGAACUUAA
rnacentral:misc_RNA from 1 species